rnacentral:rRNA from 1 species
ACAGGGAGGGAGCACGCCGCGUGAGUGAAGAAGGUUUUCGGAUCGUAAAACUCUGUUGUAAGGGAAGAACAAGUACAGUAGUAACUGGCUGUACCUUGACGGUACCUUAUUAGAAAGCCACGGCUAACUACGUGCCAGCAGCCGCGGUAAUACGUAGGUGGCAAGCGUUGUCCGGAAUUAUUGGGCGUAAAGCGCGCGCAGGCGGUCCUUUAAGUCUGAUGUGAAAGCCCACGGCUCAACCGUGGAGGGUCAUUGGAAACUGGGGGACUUGAGUGCAGAAGAGGAAAGUGGAAUUCCAAGUGUAGCGGUGAAAUGCGUAAAGAUUUGGAGGAACACCAGUGGCGAAGGCGACUUUCUGGUCUGUAACUGACGCUGAGGCGCGAAAGCGUGGGGAGCAAACAGGAUUAGAUACCCUGGUAA